CCUUUAGUUUUGAGGUUGGUGUACUGUGUGUGAGUAUACAUAUUUAUCACACACAGUCACUAUCUUCGAAAGUGAGGGUGC
rfam:Mus musculus chromosome X, GRC primary reference assembly.